GACGGCAUAAAGUGUUUUGUUUGGAAGAAGGUUUCGUGCUGAAAUUUAAAAUUAGUGCGAUUCCCUGUGCAAUAUACCGGUUUUGUGGCAAUUACAGUGUUUAUUUAGUUCAUUUUACUGCAGUGCAAGUUUUUUGCAAGAUAUAUCCGUGAUAAGCCGAACGUAUAAAGAAGGAAGAAAGCAGUGAGACAACAGGGUGACAGCAAAAUGCAAUAGCUGGAUAAAUAAAAGAUUAAUUAGUUAUGCUUCAUCGUCCUAAUGUUUCAGAUUCUUCUACAGCGGAUAUUUGAUGACAAAAAGCGAGUGAAAAAAGAAUGCAACUAUGGACGGACGGCAUAAACCAACUCGAUUAAACUACUAUACAUACACGACGUUAUUGUUGUGCAAACAAUUAUAAGGGAAAUUAUACUGUGAAGCGUAUGCUGCACAAAAUUGUCCCGGUCUGCCAACCAUUUCCUCGCGCCCUUCUGAUUCGAUUGCUCAUGAUCAGACUGUGCAAUUUUAAAAUGCAUACAUAACGGAAUGCAGCUUACUUUUUGACAACGAUUUUUUCCAAGUUUCAUAAGACGUUCAAGUGCUAUCGCUAUGAGCUGAAAUUUUAAUAUAAUAGACAUAUGAGGAAAGGGUCAAAACAGUAGCUAGAUAGGAUAACAUACAAUACGAAAAUCGCGCCCGCGGAAACGCGUAUAAAAUCCAGCCAUAGGAAUUAAAUGUCAUUCGAAUGUGCUACAACGGAAACGCAGAGAUGCUCAUUCUGUAUAUCUCUGCGGAACUGUUAUCCACGUUUGAACGCGCCCGCGGAAACGCAUAUCGUGUAUUUGCGGCCUAAUAUAUAUUAAACUAAAUCAAGCUAUUUAUUAUACUAAUAUUUAGGGAUAGUAUAGCUGGAGUGCAAGUUCAAGUAUAGCACUCAACAGGAAGACUGAAGCCGAUAGCUACAAUCAUACACGUUACCCGGCCCUCUGGUACUAAUCUAACACGACAUCCAACAUAAAAAAAUAUUCCAUUCAUUCAACAGGUUCGAGUCUUGUUUGUUCGAGAUGUCUAGCGGAGCACCUCCAUAUAACUCUAUACGUUUCUUCGAGUUGGAUGUCUGGUUCGAUUGGUGCCAAAGGGUCGGGUUUAACAAA